rnacentral:lncRNA from 1 species
UCCCUACUAAAAUAACUUGAAGCUCACGUGUCCCGAUGUUGAUUAUAAAAGAGCUUAAAGCUCACUUGUCCUCGUCGCUUGCAAAAGAGCUAAAGCUCACUUGCCCCCCCUCCCCCUCCGCCUCUUAUAAAAGAACUUAAAAGCUCACUUGUCUCUGCCGCUUAUAGAAGAGCUCAAAGUUCUGGGGUCUGUGUAUAUAAAAGAGCUUAAAGCUCAUGUGUCCCGGUUGCUUAUAAAAGAGCUUAAAGCUCACUUGUCCCUCUCGUUUUUAAAAAAGAGCAUAAAGGUCACAUGUCUUUAUCGCUUCUUAAAGAGCUUAAAGCUCACUUGUCCCUAUGGCUUAUAAGAGAGCUUGAAGCUCAUUCGUCCUGCUGCUUGUAAAAGAGUAUGAAGCUCACGUGUCCCUGUGGCUCAUAAAAGAGCUUAAAGUUUGCUUGUCCCUGUAGCUUAUAAAAGGGCUUAAAGCUGAAUGCUCAUGUGUCCUAUUGGCUUAUAAAAGAGUUUAAAGCUCACUUGUCCCUUCUGUUCACAAAAGAGUUUAGUGCUCAUGUGUCCCUCUUACUUACAAAAGAGCGCAAUGCUCAUGUGUCACUCCUAAGCAAGAGCUUAAUGCUCACAUGUCCCUGGUGCUUAUAAAAGAGCUUAAAGCUCAUGUGUCCCGGUUGCUUAUAAAAGAGCUUAAAGCUCACUUGUCCCUCUCGUUUAUAAAAAAGAGCAUAAAGGUCACAUGUCUUUAUCGCUUCUUAAAGAGCUUAAAGCUCACUUGUCCCUAUGGCUUGUAAAAGAGCUUGAAGCUCAUUCGUCCUGCUGCUUAUAAAAGAUUAUGAAGCUCACGUGUCCCUGUGGCUCAUAAAAGAGCUCGUCUCUGUAGCUUAUAAAAGGGCUUAAAGCUGAAAGCUCAUGUGUCCUAUUGGCUUAUAAAAGAGUUUAAAGCUCACGUGUCCCUUCUGUUCAUAAAAGAGUUUAGUGCUCAUGUGUCCCUCUUUACUUACAAAAGAGCGCAAUACUCAUGUGUCACUCCUAAGCAAGAGCUUAAUGCUCACAUGUCCCUGGUGCUUAUAAAAGAGCUUAAAGCUCACGUGUCCCGGUUGCUUAUAAAAGUGCUUAACACUCACGUGUCCUUGCUUAAGAAAGAGUUUAAUGCUCAUAACCCAAUGAUUACGAAAUAGCUUGAUGAUCACGUGAGAAAGCGCUUAAUGCUCAAAUGUACGUGUUGCUUAUCUAAAAACUUUCUCGAGGGUCCCUGUUGCAUAUGAAAAGAGCUUAAUGCGUA